UGCUUAAAAUUUGAAUACACAAGGGGAUAAAAAUUUUUACCCAGGGCAACCUUUUCAACACAGAAUUGAAAUACCUGUUGGUUGUGACACGACAAGGUACGCAGAUUAUCUGAAGGCACUGCAAUUUAUCAACACUAGAAAAAACGAGAUUCCAAGAGACCUAUUGUCACAUCUUGGUCACGAAAACCCUGUUUUAUUAUAUGUUGCAAAUGGACGAAAGGUAUACAAAGUGCGAUGCCCUUUCCUUGUCUGCAACUACAUGGGUGACAGAAUUGACAGACAUUUGGAAGCUGUCCACCGUGUGAAACGGAGACUUGGUUUCUUUUUCAAAUCACGACAAGUCCGAAGGUAUACCCACCUGACUACAAUAUAUCGAACCACGUCAA